rnacentral:rRNA from 1 species
UACGAAGGGUGCGAGCGUUGUUCGGAAUUACUGGGCGUAAAGGGUUUGUAGGCUGGAAUAUAAGUCAAGUGUGAAAUCCCCGAGCUAAACUUGGGACGUGCAUUUGAAACUGUGUUUCUUGAGUAUCGUAGAGGGUGGUGGAAUUGUAGGUGUAGGAGUGACAUCCGUAGAGAUCUGCAGGAACAUCAGAGGCGAAGGCGACCCCCUGGCCGAUUACUGACGCUGAGGAACGAAAGCGUGGGGAGCAAACAGG